CUAAAACUUGCUCAGCUCCUUGAACUCUUUUACAAUCUAGUUUGUCAGGACCCACCAGCAAAGACUUUGAACCAACACGGAGAUGCCACCCCACUGCCUCCUCGAUUCUUCCAUGACCUCUUCUGAAAAUUCUAGCACUUUUGUUCGAUACCAUUGCAAUUGUUCUACCUCCUUCAACAAGAUCUUGAACAUCAUCCAUCGGGCCGCCUUGGUGGUCCCUGAGCCACCCG
rnacentral:lncRNA from 1 species